rnacentral:rRNA from 1 species
GACGAACGCUGGCGGCGUGCUUAACACAUGCAAGUUGAACGAUGAAACCUAGCUUGCUAGGUCGAUUAGUGGCGAACGGGUGAGUAACACGUGACUAACCUGCCCCUUUCUCUGGGAUAACGCUCCGAAAGGAGUGCUAAUACCGGAUACUCACACCGAGGCACAUGCCUUGGUGUGGAAAGUUUUUCGGAAAGGGAUGGAGUCGCGGCCUAGGAGCUUGUUGGUGAGGUAACGGAUCACCAAGGCGACGACGGGUAGCCGGCCUGAGAGGGGGACCGGCCACACGGGGACUGAGACACGGCCCAGACUCCUACGGGAGGCAGCAGUGGGGAAUAUUGCACAAUGGGCGCAAGCCUGAUGCAGCGACGCCGCGUGAGGGAUGAAGGUCUUCGGAUUGUAAACCUCUUUCAGUAGGGACGAAGCGAAAGUGACGGUACCUAAAGAAGAAGCACCGGCUAACUACGUGCCAGCCGCCGCGGUAA